UCCCAUGUGGCUCAGUUGGUAGAGCAUGGUGUUUGCAACACCAGAGUUGUGGGUUUGAUUCCCAUGGGGGAC
rnacentral:tRNA from 1 species